CUGUGAAAACAGGUGAGGAGCUGAAGAUGGAUGUUCUGUUGAUCAAUGCUGAUAAAGUGGAGCAUCAGAGCAACAACAACUCAGAGUGGACAGAGGUGUGGACGAGAAGAGGUAGAGUCAGGAGAGAUCGAAUAACCGUCAGAGAUGAGACUCUGACUAUUAGUAAGUCAGAGUCACUGACUCUGGAACAUACAGAGUUCUGGACUCUGAAGGAGAAAUCUUGAUCACAGUCACAGUCACAGAAUAUAAUAAAGAAUCAAAGGGAAAACUAGACACAGAUGAAGACAAACCUAAUGAUACUGAAGAACAACGUAAGUCUAGGAUUAUUGUGCCGCUUGUGAUUGGAGCUCUGCUGGUUCUGCUGGUUAUAUUUGUCAUCUGGAUAUACAGACGUCAGAACAGGAACACAGAACAUGAGUCUGUCCCAAUGGAAGAAAGAGUACAGUAGUCCAGAACAUCUUGAGACGACACUGAUUGUUUGUAAUCUGCCUUCAGAGCCAAAAGAUCCACAGAGGAUUGUCAACAUAUUUAUGCAAUGUGUAUUUAAUUUUUCUACACUCAUGAACAUUAGGG